ensembl:lncRNA LINC02532 long intergenic non-protein coding RNA 2532
GUGCAACAUGGUUAUGGGUACUACAGUGGAUGUGAGUGUGUAGACCUUGUACAAUAGAGCUUAUAGGCUAAUGAGAAGACAGGAAGAAACAACAGGAACACAUAUAGCUGGAAUGCAGAUGGGAUCUGUGCUACUUACGCUAGCCAUGGGAUGAUUAGAACAAGAUAAGAGACAUGAGGAAGACUUCUUCAAGGAGGUGCUCAAGCCAUGUUUUGGAAAAGAGAACUCAAGGUCUGGCAGGGAGAAAGGAGCAAGGUCCCACACUUACAGGGAAAGCAUCACCCGAAAGUGAGAAUGCCUAGAGGCAGGAAUCAUGGAGGCUUCCUUAACCGUCUGUCUGCAACAGCAGGUGCUAGAGAUGACACUGCAGAGUAGAGAACAAAGGAAUCUUAGUAAUUGUUCAAUCCAAUCUCCACACUUUAAAGAUGAAGAAACUGGUAUUGAGAAAAAUACACAGCUUAUCCAAGGUUGCACUGCUGGUUGGUAGCUGAGAUGAAUUUAGAACCCACAUCUGAUGACUACACCAUAUUGCUCCCAGUUUUCCUGUCUGUUCCACAUGUAAAAGUCUGACUCUUCACUUCUCCUUUGAGUAUAUAGACUUUUAACAUUUUUGUAUGUCAAGAUGGACUUUUCCUCAUACCCAGCCCCUGCCUUUUCUCCUCCCUUCAUACCUUGCAGGAUCUUUAACAGAAUUUAAAAGGAGUUUUUUGUUUUGUUUUGAUGUAUCUAAUAAAAGUCAAGGGAGGGAGAGGGCCAGUAUAAGCAAGAGUACAGUUUCCUAGUUUGUAGAUGCGGUAGUCUGAGGAAUCAGAAACACACAAAGGUUUGGAGAACUGGUACAUGCUCCCAGGUGGGAAGCCAGGACUCUUGGUAGGAUCUUGAGGACAAGGCAAAGGACAAUAAGAGAGCGAGGGGAUCCUAGAGGUGGAAUCAAGGAAGAGAAACUAGAGAGAGAAAAAGGAACUGGCUAUCCAUCCAUGAUGGAUCCUGUGUGGACUGAUGGGUGGCUUGGCAUCAUCCUUUAGUAGACUUCAUGUGGUUGAAUAAUUGGCCAAUGGAAGGAAUUUCUUUUUUGGUAACAGACUCUGUGUGUACAGUUAUGGGUCUUAAUUUAUAAUAAAAGGUUACAUUGAAAAUUGAGCAUA